AGAUAUUUAUAUUAUUAAUAGGAAAGUCAUAAAUAUAUAAAUUAUAUUAUAUAAUUAAUAUAAUAAUAAAAUAAAUUAUAUAUUUUAUUUAUAAUAUUAUUUCUUUAUAAGAUAAAUAUUAUCUAAUAAUAUUUAUAAAGAAAUAUAUAUAUAUAUAAAAAGUCAUUAUAUAAAUUUAAUUAUAAUUUAAAUAAAUUUUAUAUAAAUUAAUAUAAUAUUAAUAAAGUAAUUAGUAUAAAUAAAUAAUAUGAAAAUAAAACUUAAUAAAUAUAUAAAUAUAGUCCAUAUAUAUAUAUUAAUAAAAAAAAGUAAUAUAUAUAUAUAUAUUGGAAUAGUUAUAUUAUUAUACAGAAAUAUGCUUAAUUAUAAUAUAAUAUCCA
rnacentral:RNase_MRP_RNA from 1 species